GAUGUUCUGGUUAGGUUGCUCCUGAGCCUGGCCAAGCUAGCCAUCCAUGAGUCAGGGCGCCAGGCGGAGGAGGGCUCCGCUCGAGCCGGUUCCCUGCCCCUUUUCCGUGGUGACGUCCGUGCCCGGGUGUCAUUGGAGAGGGAAUACGUGCUGUCUAUGGUAACCUUGAGGGAUUUUCGGGACUGCUGGGCACCGCGGGAAAGGAAUGCCUCCACAAUAA